UCGGAGGCUGAGAUGAGGACCGUUCAGCCAUCCUUAAAGGGAAGAGACGGGUACAACCAAUCAGAGGCUGAGGAUAGUCCAGAGAGGGGGCUGACAGAGAGCAGCGUGGCCCAGAAUAGAGCCUCCUCUGGGGGGAACAUCAGUCAGGGAGACGAGGGCAAAACCGGGAGACCAACUGAUCCUGCUGCUGUAGAGCACACAACCGAGCCACAAGGCGGCACUGAUGCAACCUCACUGACGCUCUCACUGCUACAGAAACCAACAGCUGUCUCCACCCAACAAGACCAUAUAAGGACUUCCCUUCCCACCCCUGCCACGCCCCAUUGGCCCACCAGCACGCCCAUACAGCCAGACCGACCCCUGGUGGUGUCCCCUGGAAACCCUGUAGAGAGGACGCUGGCCGCAAUUAAACUUAAUGCUUCAGUUUCCCCUGAACCCACAACUGGUACCACACACACACACACGCGCACACACACACGCACGCACACACUCUCU
rnacentral:lncRNA from 1 species